rnacentral:rRNA from 1 species
AUUGAACGCUGGCGGCAUGCUUUACACAUGCAAGUCGAACGGUAACAGGCCGCAAGGUGCUGACGAGUGGCGAACGGGUGAGUAAUGCAUCGGAACGUGCCCAGUCGUGGGGGAUAACGCAGCGAAAGCUGCGCUAAUACCGCAUACGAUCUAUGGAUGAAAGCGGGGGACCGUAAGGCCUCGCGCGAUUGGAGCGGCCGAUGUCAGAUUAGGUAGUUGGUGAGGUAAAGGCUCACCAAGCCAACGAUCUGUAGCUGGUCUGAGAGGACGACCAGCAACACUGGGACAGAGACACGGCCCAGACUCCUACGGGAGGCAGCAGUGGGGAAUUUUGGACAAUGGGCGCAAGCCUGAUCCAGCAAUGCCGCGUGCAGGAAGAAGGCCUUCGGGUUGUAAACUGCUUUUGUACGGAACGAAACGGUCCGGGUUAAUACCCUGGGCUAAUGACGGUACCGUAAGAAUAAGCACCGGCUAACUACGUGCCAGCCGCCGCCGUAACAC